AGGACGAACGCUGGCGGCGUGGAUUAGGCAUGCAAGUCGAGCGACGGUUUACCUUCGGGUAAAUACGGAGCGGCGAACGGGUGAGUAACACGUGAACAACCUGCCCUCACAUUCCGGAUAAUUGGCCGAAAGGCCUUGUAAUACGGGCGAGGAUGAUUUUGGGGCAUCUCAGGAUCAAGGAACGAGCAAUCGGUGCGAGGAGGGGUUCGCGGCUUAUCAGGUAGUUGGUGGGUAACGGCCUACCAAGCCGACGACGAGUAGCUGGUCUGAGAGGAUGGUCAGCCACAUUGGAACUGAGACACUGUCCAGACUCCUACGGGAGCUGCAGUCGAGAAUCUUGAUCAAUCGACACGAAAGUGUGAACCAGCGACG
rnacentral:rRNA from 1 species